rnacentral:rRNA from 1 species
CAGACAAACUCCGAAUGCCAAUUAAUUUAACUUGGGAGUCAGAACAUGGGUGAUAAGGUCCGUGUUCGAAAGGGAAACAGCCCAGACCACCAGCUAAGGUCCCAAAAUAUAUGUUAAGUGGAAAAGGAUGUGGCGUUGCCCAGACAACUAGGAUGUUGGCUUAGAAGCAGCCAUCAUUUAAAGAGUGCGUAAUAGCUCACUAGUCGAGUGACACUGCGCCGAAAAUGUACCGGGGCUAAACAUAUUACCGAAGCUGUGGAUUGUCCUUUGGACAAUGGUAGGAGAGCGUUCUAAGGGCGUUGAAGCAUGAUCGUAAGGACAUGUGGAGCGCUUAGAAGUGAGAAUGCCGGUGUGAGUAGCGAAAGACGGGUGAGAAUCCCGUCCACCGAUUGACUAAGGUUUCCAGAGGAAGGCUCGUCCGCUCUGGGUUAGUCGGGUCCUAAGCUGAGGCCGACAGGCGUAGGCGAUGGAUAACAGGUUGAUAUUCCUGUACCACCUAUAAUCGUUUUAAUCGAUGGGGGGACGCAGUAGGAUAGGCGAAGCGUGCGAUUGGAUUGCACGUCUAAGCAGUAAGGCUGAGUAUUAGGCAAAU